rnacentral:rRNA from 1 species
AUACGGGAGGCAGCAGUGGGGAAUCUUGCACAAUGGGGGAAACCCUGAUGCAGCGACGCCGCGUGAGCGAUGAAGCCCUUCGGGGUGUAAAGCUCUUUCGGCGGGGACGAUAAUGACGGUACCCGCAGAAGCAGCUGCGGCUAACUACGUGCCAGCAGCCGCGGUAAUACGUAGGCAGCGAGCGUUGUUCGGAGUUACUGGGCGUAAAGGGUGUGUAGGCGGUUCCUUAAGUUUGGUGUGAAAUCUCCCGGCUCAACUGGGAGGGUGCGCCGGAUACUGAGGAGCUAGAGUGCGGGAGAGGAAAGUGGAAUUCCUGGUGUAGCGGUGAAAUGCGUAGAUAUCAGGAGGAACACCUGUGGUGUAGACGGCUUUCUGGACCGUGACUGACGCUGAGACACGAAAGCGUGGGGAGCAAACAGGAUUAGAUACCCUGGU